CCUACGGGAGGCAGCAGUGAGGCAUAUUGGUCAAUGGACGCAAGUCUGAACCAGCCAUGCCGCGUGCAGGAAGACGGCUCUAUGAGUUGUAAACUUCUUUUGUACGAGGAUAAACUCAGAUACGCGUAUCUUUCUGAACGUAUCUUACGAAUAAGGAUCGGCUAACUCCGUGCCAGCAGCCGCGGUAAUACGGAGGAUUCAAGCGUUAUCCGGAUUUAUUGGGUUUAAAGGGUGCGUAGGCGGUCGGAUAAGUUAGAGGUGAAAUCCCGAGGCUCAACGUCGGAAUUGCCUCUGAUACUGGUAGGCUAGAGAGUAGGUGCGGUAGGCGGAAGGUAUGGUGUAGCGGUGAAAUGCUUAGAGAUCAUACAGAACACCGAUUGCGAAGGCAGCGUACCAAGCUACGUCUGACGUUGAGGCACGAAAGCGUGGGGAGCAAACAGGAUUAGAUACCCGGGUAGUC
rnacentral:rRNA from 1 species